rnacentral:snRNA from 1 species
GGAUGUGAGGGCGAUCUGGCUGCAACAUCUGUCACCCCACUGGUCGUCAGGGUUGAUUCAGGUCAUCUGGUUGGCUAGACAGGUGUUCCUUUCCUCCCUCACCACUCCAUGUGCUCCCCUCCCUAAGCUGCGUGCUUGGUUGAAGAGGACGUCCUUCCCCAAAUAGAGACAGACUGGUCUUCGGUUGAGGGUAUACAAGUAGCUGCGCUCCCCUGCUAGAACCUCCAAACAAGCUCUCAAGAAAUGAAUACACGGGCAGUAGUGCAGCGUGUUAAGUGCACAUGGCAGGAAGCGAAAGGACCAACUUAAGGAUCCUGGCCAU